GUUCAUGUAUUCCAUUGUUUCUGUAUGUGUGUGUGUGUGUGUGUGUGUGAGUUACAAUAGUUUAAAUAAAGUGUUUUUUUGGUGUGUUAUUUUUUGUUUUGGUUUACUUCGAUUAUUCGCUAAAUUGUGUAUUUUGUUUGUUUGGGAGCUUAGGGCGGGAAUUUGGAACUUUAUUUAUUUAAUUUUAAUUUUUAGUUUUUAAGUUUUAGCUUUCUGGAAAUUAGAUUUGCAGGUCUGUUGUCCAUGUCUGUGUCUGUGUGUGUGUGUGUGUGUGUGUUUAUAUAUGUAUUGCAUGUAUAUAAUUAAUUUUAAUUAGUUUUGAUGGAU
rnacentral:lncRNA from 1 species